rnacentral:lncRNA from 1 species
AGAAUGUCAGCAUGGAGGCUGCUGGGCAGGUCAUGAGUCACCAUGGUGGGUAGAAACUGGAUUCAUCAUUUUUAUUUCCCCCUACUGCUUUUGUAGUUCAACAUGAAGAUAAAAUCUUAUGCUGUUUAAAACUAUUUUAGAUCACUUUAACUUAAAUGAGUUGAGCUUUGGGAUACAUUGCAAAUAAUCUGUAUUGAAAUUUUGCAAUACUCCCAAAUUAUUUCUGAUAAUGUUUGAAUUAGCAUAAUAAUGACAACCAACCUUUCAUAUACCAAAGGAAGGUACUAUUUACUCUUCUUUUUCAUUUUUCUAACCAGAUAGUUAGAGCUGAUUCCACAUUAGUCUGUAGGCUGCCUAAAAGAAUGAAUUGGUUAUUUGAAUAUUUUCAUCUCAGGUAAGUGAUCAGUCAUAUAAUUUGAAAUUUCUCCAAUCGGCCCUUUAAUUUUUAUGAGAAAUUACUGAUUUUGCUUUCUACAAUGUGCAAAACAAUCUAGACCAACAUUAGACACCAUCUCUCUCCACAAAAAACAUUCUCCAAGCAAAACAUCCUGAUCUCUAAAUACACUACGGCAGGAAUGAAACUGUUGAUCAGAGUUGCAGUAUUGAUUCUUCCUGUGGCCAUGGAUACACAUAUGGGAACUUUGAACACUUUUCCAUGCUAGGGAACAUCACAUUUGUCCAUUACAUUGAUGAUAUCAUACUGCUUGGACAUGGAGAACAUGAAACAGGAGCUACUUAAUACCCUUUGAAAAAGAGGAAGUAUUCUAGAGAAUAUAAAAAGACUUCUUGAGUACUAAGAGGUCGUGAAGACAGCUUUGGAAAUGUUAUAAGCGUCAAGAUUCGCUCAAGAUACACCUGCUUCUCUUGCAAAAGCAUUAUUCAAAAGAGCCAAGAUAUGGAAGCAACUGAAGUGCUCAUCAACAGG